CAGGACCUCUUUGCCUAUCCUCCACCUCUGCCCUGCAUGUGAGUGUGUAUAUAGAUGUGGAGAUACACACACUUCAAGUGCCCAAGAAGUCAUCAAUGGAAGGAGGAACCAUUAUUUUCAUACGUCACUAAGAAGUAAAGGUGCCACAGACAAGGAGUGUAGUGGAAGACCCCUACGUAAGAGCAGCUUUGCUGUUGUCCCCAGUGACUCCCAGGGCUGCCAGUGCUGCACCAGGAAUCACUGGCCUUCGGUGAUGCUACCAUUCCUCACUUUCGUGUAUCACUCUGCAAUCUACAAAUGUUUCUUAUCCAUCAACUCAGUUGACCAGUUGUGAUAUGAAAUGGAUGGGACAGAUAUUGGUCCUGUUUUACCAGGGUUGUGCCUGCAGCUCAGAGAGGUUAGAUCUGCUCCGGGGCCACCAGCAAGGGCUGAGACUGAACUCAUUCUGCUGGGACCCUGCCUGCUCUGCUGUCCCCCGAGGGCACAGCCCACAGGACCUACAGAAGGGUCUGCACCUGCAGGAGCGUGUGAGGGAGACCUUCUCUAACAAAGGACAAUUUAUGACCCAGCUGCAGUGAUGGGAAUUCAAGCCCACUCAACAUGUUCACAUUCAAAAAAUCAAGCCCAAAGAUGUGCUGCAGAGCCAGAGACGCUGGGAGAGGCAGCGUGGAGGAGACCACCGGAGCCAGGUGGGGGAUGGCAACUGAUCUGGAGGCAGUGCAGGCAUCGUUCAGGUGAAUGAG